rnacentral:rRNA from 1 species
CCUACGGGAGGCAGCAGUGGGGAAUCUUGCACAAUGGGGGAAACCCUGAUGCAGCGACGCCGCGUGAGCGAUGAAGCCUUUCGGGGUGUAAAGCUCUUUCGGCCGGAACGAUAAUGACGGUACCGGCAGAAGAAGCUGCGGCUAACUACGUGCCAGCAGCCGCGGUAAUACGUAGGCAGCAAGCGUUGUUCGGAGUUACUGGGCGUAAAGAGUACGUAGGCGGUGCCGCCAGUCCGGUGUGAAAUCUCCUGGCUUAACUGGGAGGGUGCGCUGGAAACUGCGGUGCUGGAGUGCGGGAGAGGAAAGCGGAAUUCCUGGUGUAGCGGUGAAAUGCGUAGAGAUCAGGAGGAACACCUGUGGUGUAGACGGCUUUCUGGACCGUAACUGACGCUGAGGUACGAAAGCGUGGGGAGCAAACAGGAUUAGAUACCCUUGUAGUC